rnacentral:rRNA from 1 species
ACGAACGCUGGCGGCGUGCUUAACACAUGCAAGUCGAACGGUGAAGCGCCUUCCUUUUGGUGGGUGUGGAUGAGUGGCGAACGGGUGAGUAACACGUGAGUAACCUGCCCCCUUCUUCUGGAUAACCGCAUGAAAGUGUGGCUAAUACGGGAUAUUCUGGGUCUGUCGCAUGAUGGGUCUGGGAAAGAUAUUGUUUCGGUGGGGGAUGGGCUCGCGGCCUAUCAGCUUGUUGGUGGGGUGAUGGCCUACCAAGGCGGUGACGGGUAGCCGGCCUGAGAGGGUGGACGGUCACACUGGGACUGAGACACGGCCCAGACUCCUACGGGAGGCAGCAGUGGGGAAUAGUGCACAAUGGGCGCAAGCCUGAUGCAGCGACGCCGCGUGAGGGAUGGAGGCCUGCGGGUUGUGAACCUCUUUCGCCAGUGAAGCAGGCCUGCCUCGUUUGUGGGUGGGUUGACGGUAGCUGGAUAAGAAGCGCCGGCUAACUACGUG